AUUGAACGCUGGCGGCAGGCCUAACACAUGCAAGUCGAGCGGAUGAAGGGAGCUUGCUCCUGGAUUCAGCGGCGGACGGGUGAGUAAUGCCUAGGAAUCUGCCUGGUAGUGGGGGAUAACGUCCGGAAACGGGCGCUAAUACCGCAUACGCAUUGAGGGAGAAAGUGGGGGAGCUUCGCACCUCACGCUAUCAGAUGAGCAUAGGUCGGAUUAGCUAGUUGGUGGGGUAAAGGCCUACCAAGGCGACGAUCCGUAACUGGUCUGAGAGGAUGAGCAGCCACACUGGAACUGAGACACGGUCCAGACUCCUACGGGAGGCAGCAGUGGGGAAUAUUGGACAAUGGGCGAAAGCCUGAUCCAGCCAUGCCGCGUGUGUGAAGAAGGUCUUCGGAUUGUAAAGCACUUUAAGUUGGGAGGAAGGGCAGUAAGUUAAUACCUUGCUGUUUUGACGUUACCAACAGAAUAAGCACCGGCUAACUUCGUG
rnacentral:rRNA from 1 species